AUCGGACGCAGUACCAGCAGCGAACAGUUCUGGUUCCAACAAAACGAUCGAGUUGAUAGAGCAUUCGAUUUGGGACACGGCGCCAUUGAAUGCGGUACCUUGUCCUGACGGUGAACAGUUUAAGGAUGGCCGCUGUCGCAAGCUGUUGAAGUUAGCAUCGUACCAGGCUUGCAAUAAACCAGAGGAAUGUCAUUCAUGCAGCUGAGUACGAUGUUUGCUGUAACUUUUCUGGUAGCCAUUGGCCAUACAUCGUCCCUUCCAAACCGCCCUACUGCGUCACACGGGAAUGCCGAAAAUGUAGCUGAUGGACCGGUGAUGGUGAUCGAACCGCGUGCUUUAUUUGCUGGACCGACGCCGUCCGAGUUUGACUGCCUGAUCAGGUGUCGAGAAAGUCAACGGUGUGUCGAUGGGCGCUGCCGGAAAGUGUUUCCCAGUUCUCGUCAGCAACGGGUUUGAGGAAAACGUGUAAAUUAGAUUAAAUAUAUGCAGCUUUUGGUUUCAAUUU